rnacentral:lncRNA from 1 species
CCCCCUCCCUCACUGGUUCCGUUGUCGUUAUGCGCAAGAAUAGCACGGCAUGACACAACACCAUACCAUACUGUACCGUUGGCCUACUGGCACAGGUGUCAGUUCUGGUACUGCGGACCUUGGGUCUGAUACUUUUGGGGACGCACAGAAUCAAAACCCAAGGAACUUGGGAUACAUGUUCAAACCGAAGCUGGCCUAAAAGCUUAAGCAUGAGUUUUGGGCCCAACUAGCAAAUCAAACCUUUUUCGUUACUAUUUCAUGUAGGAUUGUCUUUUUAUACAUGGAUUCUUAAUAAUCUCACCAUGAUAUCUGAAUUCUUCCCACAUCCUCAUCAACACUCCCUUGCAUCUGAUCCACUACUCUUAAGCCAGUUCCAUUUGAGUGCUUCAUGUGCUCCAUGUAGUGCUCCAACUGCGAAAUCAUGCUUUUAAGCUAUGUUACACCAAAUUCAAGUUCACAUCAUGUGUCUUCUCCGCUGCACCAUCAUAUGCUCUCGCAUGCUUUUCACCACACUCGGGUUCACUCAUUACACUAUAAGCAUGACUAUUGAAGAACGGCGUCUGAACUUGUGCUUAAACUCAGCACUACUACAUCGAGUCCACUUCAUCAACUUGGCGCACUAUGGCUACAAAACUCCACUCUACUAGCCCACAUGUUGCCAUUAUAAGAUCCGCUAGUACUGGUACUCAUCAUCGCUUUAAGAGUUAUGUACGGGAUCGUUACCCUUAUCUUUGAUACCAUUGUUGAAUCAUAGUAUCAAGAGACCCCUCUUUUAUCUCACACCCUCUCUCGGGCACGGUAGAAGAUAACACUCAUCAAGAGAUAACAACUCUUGGAUUACAUAAGGGAUUCAAUACGGAGGACGAGAGUCCAACAUAAGGAGCCUUGAUAUACAUGUUAAAACCCAAUUUGAUCCAAAAACUUAAUCCAUGAGGUUUUAUGCUCGAGUAUAUAUAAUAUUUCUUGAUCACAUUAUUUGCUUUACGUGGGCCUAAACCUCCCAUAUGACCUUUAACAAUCUGCUCCCUUCAUGAUUAGCCUACCACAUUGACAUCAGCUUUCACUCCAGUCUGAUCCACAGUACUCUCCAGA